rnacentral:rRNA from 1 species
UGGCGACCGGCGCACGGGUGAGUAACGCGUAUCCAACCUGCCCUUUACUCCGGGAUAGUCUCCUGAAAGGGAGUUUAAUACCGGAUGUGUUUGUCUUUCCGCAUGGGAGCGACAAAUAAAGAUUAAUUGGUAAAGGAUGGGGAUGCGUCCCAUUAGCUUGUUGGCGGGGUAACGGCCCACCAAGGCGACGAUGGGUAGGGGUUCUGAGAGGAAGGUCCCCCACAUUGGAACUGAGACACGGUCCAAACUCC